ensembl:lncRNA
CAAACACUGUCACAUUGAGGGCUGGGGCACACGAGUUUAGAGGAGACACCUUCAGUCCCCAGCACCACCUGAGCUCACAUGUCCACUUUCCUGGGGACAGGGCCUGAGCAUCCUAAGCUACAUCUCCUGACAGGUGUCCAGGAGUAGGAUUGCUGCGCCCCGGGGUGAAAAGCGUCCUUCAUCUCACUGAGCGCUGCCAGACGGCUCCCCAGAACGGCUGUUCCCCAGAACAGCUGUGCUGCUCGGCUCCCCCACAGUCUCAUCCGCGCUUCCUGGAGACGUUUUGCUGUCCCGAUGGUUCUCAAGUGGCACGUCAGCCUUGUGAUGGUUGUUCUCCAAUCACCAGUAAGGCUUGUUUAUACUCACUAUAAAUCUCAUUUUAUACUUAUUUAGAUUUUUCAGACUUACCCUGUAGUAAAUUGUCUGGUCAUGUAUUUUGUCCCUUUUUUUUUUAAUGGUGUACCAUCUUUUUGCUGAUUUGCAAGAGUUCCUGGUACGUUUCUGUGCCAAUCCUUUGUUGGCUCUCACAUUUGUAAAUAUCUUCUCCCCCGAUCUCUCACUCAUUUGUUGAUCCAUCUGUAGUUGUCCUUCAAUAAAUAGAAAAACCUAAUUUUGAUGAAGCCGAAUCUGUCCAUUUUUCAUUUCAGUCUUGUUCUGAGAAAUCUUUCGCCACUCAAGAUCACAAGGAUAUUCAUAUUUUGAUAGCCGUGGAGAUUGGCCUUCUGUGUUUAGAUCUGUAGGUUGGAGAGGAUGUUUGCAUGCAGUGCGAGGUGGGCAGUGUUUGCAGCACGGCCUACUGAAUUGUGCUGUCUCCUCCCCAGGGACUUGGGCAGUUGCGUCCCUUGGAUGCCGAGGCUCUGGAUACGGGUAUGUGUCUGGGCCAUUCUUUUGUUCCACUGUCCAGUCUGUUGCGUCCUCUUGCACUUAGGCCAUACGGCUUCAAUGACUGUGGUUUUACACGUUUCACUUUCUUUUCUUUCUUUCUUUUCUUUUUGUCUUUUUGCCAUUUCUUGGACCACCCCCACGGCAUAUGGAGAUUCCUAGGCUAGGGGUCCAUCGGAGCUGUAGCCGAUGGCCUACACCAGAGCCACAGCAACGCGGGAUCCGAGCCGCGUCUGCAACCUACACCACAGCUCACGGCAAUGCUGGAUCCAUAAGCCACUGAGCAAGGGCGGGGAUCGAACCUGCAACCUCAUGGUUCCGAGUUGGAUUCAUUAACCACUGAGCCACGACGGGAACUCUAUGUUUCACUUUCUGAUUGGGCACAUUUGCUCAUUGCUUUUUCUCUUUCGAAAUAUGUCAGCUCCUCAAGGCCAGUUAUUCUUUCAUGCACAUUUCCAUCAAGUUGCCUUUAAAUUCUGCUGGAGUUUUGUUGGAUUUGGAUUAAAUAUACAGAUUAGGGAGUUCCCGUUGUGGUUCAGCGGUUUACGAACCUGACCAGUAUCCAUGAGGAUGCAGGUUCGAUCCCUGGCCUGGCUCAGUGGGUUGGCUAAGGACCCAGCGUUGCCGUGAGCUGUUGUGUAGGUCACAGACAAGGCUCAGAUCCCAAGUGGCGGUGGCUGUGGCUGUGGCCAGCGGCUGCAGCUCCGAUUUGACCCCUAGACUGGGAAUUUCCAUAUGCUGUAGGUGCAGCCCUAAAAACAAACAAAAAAGUACACACGCACACAUGCACACACAUACACGACACGCACACACACACACAGAUUAAUUUGGGGGAGAAUUAAGAACUUUUAAGUUGCCUCACCCGUGAAUGAGUUUAUUUCUCCGUAUGCUUAGAUCUUCCCCCAGAAAGGUGUUGUGCCUUCCUCAUUAGGUUAAUUCCUAGUUCUGUACGGUUUCUGUAGUAUUGUGAACAGGGACUUUAAAAGAAUUGUUUUUCUGAUGACCGUGGUGUGGAGGAAAGCAGUUGUUUUUGUUUACUGCCUUCGAAACUGGCCGGCUUGCCGAAUCCCUCAUUGGUUGUUCUAGUUCACUUGAUUCUGUCGCAUCUCUCUGGGGAGGAUAUCACAUGCAAAAAAAGUGACACUUGUUUGUCCCUUUCCUUCCACUGCUUAUACCCAAGGGACUUGUGUUGCCAACCAGAACCUCAGGCGCUCUCUGUUGCGAGUGGGGCUGGGACUCUGCCUCUCCUUUCCUGGUCUUAGAGGGAGGG